rnacentral:misc_RNA from 1 species
GAUGAAGAACGUAGCGAAAUGCGAUAAGUAAUGCGAAUUGCAGAAUUCAGUGAGUCAUCGAAUCUUUGAACGCACAUUGCGCCCUGUGGUAUUCCGCAGGGCAUGCCUGUUCGAGCGUCAUUUCAACCCUCAAGCUCUGCUUGGUGUUGGGCCCUGCCCGCUGCGGCCGGCCCUAAAGACAGUGGCGGUGCCGCCUGGCCCUGAGCGUAGUACAUCUCUCGCUCCAGUGCCCGGUGGUAGCCUGCCAGAACCCCAACUCUCGUGGUUGACCUCGGAUCAGGUAGGAAUACCCGCUGAACUUAAGCAUAUCAAUAAGCGGAGGA